GUCUCCAAGGUGAAGAGUCUCUAGUCGAUAGAAUAAUGUAGGUAAGGGAAGUCGGCAAAUUAGAUCCGUAACUUCGGGAUAAGGAUUGGCUCUGAAGAUUGAGAUAGUCGGGCUUGAUUGGGAAACAAUAACAUGGUUUAUGUGCUCGUUCUGGGUAAAUAGAGUUUCUAGCAUUUAUGUUAGUUACUUGUUCCCCGGAUAGUUUAGUUACGUAGCCAAUUGUGGAACUUUCUUGCUAAAAUUUUUAAGAAUACUAUUUGGGUUAAACCAAUUAGUUCUUAUCAAUUAUAACGAUUAUCAAUUAACAAUCAAUUCAGAACUGGCACGGACUUGGGGAAUCCGACUGUCUAAUUAAAACAAAGCAUUGUGAUGGCCCUAGCGGGUGUUGACACAAUGUGAUUUCUGCCCAGUGCUCUGAAUGUCAAAGUGAAGAAAUUCAAGUAAGCGCGGGUCAACGGCGGGAGUAACUAUGACUCUCUUAAGGUAGCCAAAUGCCUCGUCAUCUAAUUAGUUUUUUUUUUUUUUUUUUUUCUUUAGCGUGCGUUUAUUUAUUUAAAAUCUGUCCUAGU
rnacentral:ncRNA from 1 species